UACGGAAGGCAGCAGUGGGGAAUAUUGCACAAUGGGCGAAAGCCUGAUGCAGCUAUGCCGCGUGUAUGAAGAAGGCCUUAGGGUUGUAAAGUACUUUCAUCGGGGAGGAAAAAACAAAACUAAUAAUUUUAUUUCUUGACGUUACCCGAAAAAGAAGCACCGGCUAACUCCGUGCCAGCAGCCGCGGUAAUACGGAGGGUGCUAGCGUUAAUCAGAAUUACUGGGCGUAAAGAGCACGUAGGUGGUUUUUUAAGUUCAGAUGUGAAAUCCCUGGGCUUAACCUAGGAACUGCAUUUGAAACUGAAAUACUAGAGUAUCGUAGAGGGAGGUAGAAUUCUAGGUGUAGCGGUGAAAUGCGUAGAUAUCUGGAGGAAUACCUGUGGCGAAAGCGGCCUCCUAAACGAAUACUGACACUGAGGGUGCGAAAGCGUGGGGAGCAAACAGGAUUAGAUACC
rnacentral:rRNA from 1 species